GAAAGGGAGAUGCCAUUCAAUUAAACUGAAUUUUCCUUUCAUUUUCUAUGGAUGAGUUUACUUAGUAUCUCUGCAGGCACGUGGAGACAUCCGGGUUGCUGCCUGUCUGGCUACUCAAGGCAGCACUGUCGUUUCACCAACCGAGGGGAAGCUUCAGGAUCAAGCUGGGACCGAGUCAUUGAUUCCAUUGUUGGUGAAAGAAACAUUAUAAAGAAAACCACUUUGUAGAAGUUUUCUAAAGAUAGACGAGGCUCAAACACAGGCAGAAGAUGCAGCAAACGAUGUCAAAAUAGAAUAUUAUACCACAAGCAGAAUGGAAGCAAA